rnacentral:rRNA from 1 species
GUCUACAGCCAUACCACCUUGAACACGCCCGAUCUCAUCUGGUCUUGGAAGCAAGAGAGGCAGAUGGAGACGGAGAGAUACCACAGCACUGAAGCUUAUCCCCAUAGCAUGGAUUCCCUUGUGGUGGACU